UUUAAUAGAGGCGCGGCUUUUAUAAGUAGUAUGGGCGACGGUGCGGAAUCACCGCAGACGAAAGGAAAAGCUGCCGAAAUUCACAGCAGAUUCCGUUGCUGUGCGUUGGGACGCUGCAAAAUAUGCCGCGUACUGUCACUUUUUGUGGAGCGCUAUUC
rnacentral:ncRNA from 1 species